GACGAACGCUGGCGGCGUGCUUAACACAUGCAAGUCGAACGGAGAAGGGAUCAGCUUGCUGGUUCUGGAUGAGUGGCGAACGGGUGAGUAACACGUGAGUAACCUGCCCCCUUCUUCUGGAUAACCGCAUGAAAGUGUGGCUAAUACGGGAUAUUCUGGGUCUGCCGCAUGAUGGUUCUGGGAAAGAUAUUGUUUCGGUGGGGGUUGGGCUCGCGGCGUAUCGGCUUGUUGGUGGGGCGAUGGCCUACCAAGGCGGCGACUGGUAGCCGGCCAGAGAGUGGGUACGGUGAGAGUGGGGCCGCGACACGGACCAGUGUGAUACGGGACAGAGCAGUAGGGGAUACUGCAGGAGGGACGCUAGCCUGAUGCAGCGACGCCUGGUGAGGGAUGGUGGCGUUCGGGAUGUAAUCCUCUUUGGCGAGAGAAGCAGGCCUGCUACUUGUGGGUGGAUUGACGGUAGCUGGAGAAGAAGCGCCGGCUAACUACGUG
rnacentral:rRNA from 1 species